CAUUUUUUCCUAGCCGCCACUUCUCUCCCUGGCUUCUUCCCCAACGCACAGGGAGCUUCCUCCCUUCCUCCCAUGGCAGCCGACCAGCCGAGUGCCCUCCCUAUCCUCCUCCUGGCGCGAGUUCCCUGUUCCUCAGCUCCAUGGAUGCAGCCCCUCCUCACCAUGGACGCCCUUCCCUCCAGCAGCGACGGGGCUAGGGUACCGGACACGCAAGACUCGCCCAGACCAUCGGCCUCUGCUUUUCCCAGCGCCCCUUUCACCAUUGGUCACGGGCCCCUCUGCACCUUGCGUGUAUGGCACUUCUCUGAUCCGAGCUCGCGCAGCCGUGGAGCAUCUCCCUGCCAUCUCCCUCCCAUGGACGCCCAGAAAAAUCCCCCAUGCCGACGCCCCUUCUUUUCCCUUACUCGUUCUCCCUCGCGCAACAGCAGCCGGGUCUUCUUCCUCCCCCUGCUGUCCACGACGUGCAGCAAACAGGGAGCUGAGCUCCAUCUCCCCCUCAUGGCGGGACACAGCAGCAGCUCGCCCCGCCUCUCCUCGCAGGCGCAGCCCCCUCCCAUGGCGCGCUGCAGUAGAUGCCGUGGAGCAUUCCCUCCAUGCCUUGCGACUCGGUUUCCUUCCUGCGUGUGUGCUGCUGCGCCUGCGCCGUUGAUGCUUGCUAGGCGCUCGACAAAAUGCGCAGCAGCCCCAACGUCUCCGCGCGGCUCGCUGCUUUUUUUUUGCGUAGUGAACAGCACGCCGUCGACGCUCGUCGAGUGUUUGCUGUUUUUGCGCAGCCCCAACAGCAUCGUCGUUCACCCCGGAGAGAAACCCCGUGUUUGCGUGGAGGAGGCAAGUCGUUCAACGCUCGUCGAUGUGCGAAGCUAUGCACAAAUCGGAAUCACCGUCGUUCUUGCAAACGCCGUUUGGGUUUGUUUAUGGACCGAGAGAUGAUGAUCGAGCAACUAAUGUGGUGCCAACCACAAGAUACCGUUGGUGGACGACCUGAAGACUGAUGGACUUAACCAGUGGAUGCUCGCCAAGCGAGCACCUUUCCCCCAGCAAACACUAUUUAAGUGUUAAAAAUUAAAGGUACCUCCUUGAUUUUGGUUGAUGGUGUGACUUGGCCUCCAUCCCUGCCACCGGGAUAGAUGGUCGAGUGGGUUACUGCUUCCGCAGGAGAGGACCAGGAGGAGUAGCGUGGCCAGGCUUCGCCAUGUUACUCGGUUCUUCUCCGUUAGUUAUUUCCGCUGCAUUAAAAUUUAUGGUUAUUAUUUCUGAAACUCCGAUAAUGUAAUCACUAAUGAUACUUAUUAAAUUUGUG
rnacentral:misc_RNA from 1 species